GUGCCGAUGGGAGGGGCGGCGGGCGCUGUGCUAGGUGGAUUGACUGAGGAGACGGUUUUGAUGACGCUAUUUUCCCGGGAGGAGGCGAGGUUUGCGGGAGAGACGAAUCAAGGAUGGGCCCAUGUUGGCCAUCGGUGGAAAGAGGGUGUAGAGAAUCCUUGCUGCUAUAUUCAGGUAUGGAAAGAGCUGAAGCAAAACAGCAAAUCAGAAAAGAGCGUCAUGUUCAUCACAAGGGACAAUGGAGAGUGUCAUGUCAUGUUCAUGUGAGGAACUAAAAUAAGUACCAACAGUUUAGGUUCAGUUAUAAGAAAAGAAGAAGUUACAAGGGGGGAUUCCAGGCGAAGCGAGGGUACGACCUUGAUGCCAUUAUAUCCUCUUCGAGCAGGCGUGUCCGAAGCUUAGUUGCAUUGGCAUAGUAGUCUGUAGGUUGAAGAUGGCAAAAUUCUGAAGCUUUUAUGAUUGCACCCAAGAAGCAAUUCACGUCCUUCCAUGUAUGUGGAGAUUACUUCCAAAUAUGCCUCCAGCGUAAUUACUGGCCCGAUUACUCCCAAAUAUACCUGGAGCGUGAUUGCUUCCAAAUUAGAUACUGCUCCCGAUUACUGGAGCGUGAUUAACUGCUCCCGAUUACUGGAGCGUGAUUGCUCCCGAUUACUGUAUGUGGAGAUUAACUGCCUGAUAUGUGCUUCCAUAUAUGUCCUGCUUUGCCUGAUA